ACCUACCUGGCCAUACCACCCUGAACACGCCCGAUCUCGUCCGAUCUCGGAAGCUAAGCAGGUCGGGCCUGGUUAGUACUUGGAUGGGAGACCGCCUGGGAAUACCAGGUGCUGUAAGCU
rnacentral:rRNA from 1 species